GACGAACGCUGGCGGCGUGCCUAAUACAUGCAAGUAGAACGCUGAAGGAGGAGCUUGCUUCUCUGGAUGAGUUGCGAACGGGUGAGUAACGCGUAGGUAACCUGCCUGGUAGCGGGGGAUAACUAUUGGAAACGAUAGCUAAUACCGCAUAAUAGUAGAUGUUGCAUGACAUUUGCUUAAAAGGUGCAAUUGCAUCACUACCAGAUGGACCUGCGUUGUAUUAGCUAGUUGGUGAGGUAACGGCUCACCAAGGCGACGAUACAUAGCCGACCUGAGAGGGUGAGGGGCACCCGGGGGACGGGAACCGCGCCCAGACUCCCAGGGGAGGAGGCAGGAGGGAACUUUGGGGAAGGGAGGGAAGUCUGACGGAGCAACGCGGGGGGAGGAAAGAAGUUUUUCGGAGUGAAAAGCUUUUUUGAAAGAGAAGAAGGAGUGGGGGAGGGAAAAGUUCACACUGGGAGGGUAUUUAACCAGAAAGGGACGGCAAACUACGGC
rnacentral:rRNA from 1 species